rnacentral:rRNA from 1 species
CUUUAAUGUUUGAUGUUCUAACGUUGACCCGUAAUCCGGGUUGCGGACAGUGUCUGGUGGGUAGUUUGACUGGGGCGGUCUCCUCCUAAAGAGUAACGGAGGAGCACGAAGGUUGGCUAAUCCUGGUCGGACAUCAGGAGGUUAGUGCAAUGGCAUAAGCCAGCUUGACUGCGAGCGUGACGGCGCGAGCAGGUGCGAAAGCAGGUCAUAGUGAUCCGGUGGUUCUGAAUGGAAGGGCCAUCGCUCAACGGAUAAAAGGUACUCCGGGGAUAACAGGCUGAUACCGCCCAAGAGUUCAUAUCGACGGCGGUGUUUGGCACCUCGAUGUCGGCUCAUCACAUCCUGGGGCUGAAGUAGGUCCCAAGGGUAUGGCUGUUCGCCAUUUAAAGUGGUACGCGAGCUGGGUUUAGAACGUCGUGAGACAGUUCGGUCCCUAUCUGCCGUGGGCGCUGGAGAACUGAGGGGGGCUGCUCCUAGUACGAGAGGACCGGAGUGGACGCAUCACUGGUGUUCGGGUUGUCAUGCCAAUGGCACUGCCCGGUAGCUAAAUGCGGAAGAGAUAAGUGCUGAAAGCAUCUAAGCACGAAACUUGCCCCGAGAUGAGUUCUCCCUGACUCCUUGAGAGUCCUGAAGGAACGUUGAAGACGACGACGUUGAUAGGCCGGGUGUGUAAGCGCAGCGAUGCGUUGAGCUAACCGGUACUAAUGAACCGUGAGGCUUAACCUUACAACGCCGAAGGUGUUU